CCCUACGGGAGGCAGCAGUGAGGAAUAUUGGUCAAUGGGCUUACGCCUGAACCAGCCAAGUCGCGUGAGGGAAGACUGCCCUAUGGGUUGUAAACCUCUUUUGUCAGGGAGCAACGCCAGCUACGUGUAGCCGGACUGAGAGUACCUGAAGAAAAAGCAUCGGCUAACUCCGUGCCAGCAGCCGCGGUAAUACGGAGGAUGCGAGCGUUAUCCGGAUUUAUUGGGUUCAAAGGGUGCGUAGGCGGAAUGCCAAGUCAGCGGUAAAAUCGCGGGGCUCAACCUCGCUCCGCCGUUGAAACUGACGU
rnacentral:rRNA from 1 species